UACGAAGGGGGCUAGCGUUGUUCGGAAUUACUGGGCGUAAAGCGUGCGCAGGCGGCUUCUCAAGUCAGGGGUGAAAGCCCAGAGCUCAACUCUGGAAUUGCCUUUGAGACUGAGUGGCUUGAGUACGAGAGAGGUGAGUGGAAUUCCCAGUGUAGAGGUGAAAUUCGUAGAUAUUGGGAAGAACACCGGUGACGAAGGCGGCUCACUGGCUCGUAACUGACGCUCAUGCACGACAGCGUGGGGAUCAAACAGG
rnacentral:rRNA from 1 species